CCUGUUUGAUCUGCUUGUGAGGUGAAGAGGUAGUCUUGCUUCAAGGGGGGACAGAAGUGAUCACUCUAAGUCACAGGCCAUAUAAUACCACAGCCAAUGAUACCAGUUUCAUGAAAUGAAGGAGGUUUCUAAAUAACAAAGAGCAACUUAAGGUAGAAAUGAUUCAGUAUGAGAAACCCCUCUGAGGUCCUUUCUCCCAGAUGUGGGGGAAGACAGGACAUGUGAUCUAGGUUAAGCCUAUCCCAACACCAGUGAUUGGUUGAAAAGAGGGCAGAUGACAUAGGCUGGUCUAAUCAGAGAGAACCUCAGGGAUUUCCUGAGAUUUCCUGGACCAGGGCCUGCCUGUGGGAAGCGCAGGUGUGGCUAUGGGGGCCAGGAACUUCUAUACCAGCCUGUCCAUGAGACAAAAGAAUCUUAGAGAAACAGAGCCAAGGUUCUGACAAUCCGGA
rnacentral:lncRNA from 1 species